rnacentral:rRNA from 1 species
AAGGGAAAGGCUUAGUGGCGGACGGGUGAGUAACGCGUGGGUAACCUGGCCCAUACAGGGGGAUAACACUUAGAAAUAGGUGCUAAUACCGCAUAACAACAGAAAGCGCAUGCUUUUUGUUUGAAAACCAAGGUGGUAUGGGAUGGACCCGCGUCUGAUUAGCUGGUUGGCGGGGUAAAGGCCCACCAAGGCGACGAUCAGUAGCCGGCCUGAGAGGGUGGACGGCCACAUUGGGACUGAGACACGGCCCAAACUCCUACGGGAGGCAGCAGUGGGGAAUAUUGCACAAUGGGGGAAACCCUGAUGCAGCGACGCCGCGUGAGUGAAGAAGUAAUUCGUUAUGUAAAGCUCUAUCAGCAGGGAAGAAAAUGACGGUACCUGAGUAAGAAGCCCCGGCUAACUACGUGCCAGCAGCCGCGGUAAUACGUAGGGGGCAAGCGUUAUCCGGAUUUACUGGGUGUAAAGGGAGCGUAGACGGCAGUGCAAGUCUGGAGUGAAAGGCGGGGGCUCAACCCCCGGACUGCUCUGGAAACUGUACGGCUGGAGUGCAGGAGAGGUAAGUGGAAUUCCUAGUGUAGCGGUGAAAUGCGUAGAUAUUAGGAGGAACACCAGUGGCGAAGGCGGCUUACUGGACUGUAACUGACGUUGAGGCUCGAAAGCGUGGGGAGCAAACAGGAUUAGAUACCCUGGUAGU